AUCCCAGGCCUCACCCCGAUUUGUAAUAUAUGUGGGGCCGAGGAUGAAACAGGCUUCCAUAUGGCACAUCGAUGCACAUUUGCAAGGGCCUUGUGGCACGAACUCAAGGAGGCAUGGAACCUGCCUCCUGAGCAGGAAGUAGAAUAUACUGGAAGGGAUUGGGUCCUAAUCUUGCUAGAUAAGGUGAGUGAAGAUAUGAAACAAAAAUUUAUGCUAUUUUGGUGGCGUGUUUGGCACCAUAGAAAUGACGCGAUCUUCGCAAAAGGUAAAGCGAAAAUUUCCCACUCUGCUCGUUUUCUGCAAAACUACCUUGCAAACAUCCGCUUGAUUGCGGAGGGAACUUCUGAGAUAGAUCGAAAAGGGAAAAGUCCGAUGGUUAACUUGCCAUCAGUGCAACAACAUGAUCAUACAAAGGAAAAAGGAUGGACAAUGCCAGAGCUCGGAUGGGCUAAGGUCAAUGUUGAUGGAAGUUUUUUGGAGGAAAAUAGGAGUGGAGCCUGGGGAGCUGUGAUUCGAGAUCAUGAUGGAAGAAUUAUCUUAUCAGCUUGGGAUUAUAUACCGCGGUGCAAUGGAGCGGACUGCGCGGAAGCCAUGGCUUGCCUAGAAGGACUAAGGAUGGCAAUGUCGGGGACGAAUCUACCCUUAAUCAUCGAGACGGAUUGCAGCUCGGUGACAAAGGCGCUUAUCCUCUCGUCUAUUGAUAGAUCGGAGGUUGCAACAAUUGUAAAGGAGUUUCAAGCCAUGAAAGGGAACAGAGAAGUAAAAGUUUGCAAAGUAGAUAGAAGGGAC
rnacentral:rRNA from 1 species